GUGCUCACUUUGGCAGCACAUAUACUAAAAUUGGAAUGAUACAGAGAAGAUUAGCAUGGCCCCUAGGCAAGGAUGACAAACAAAUUCAUGGACUAUUCAGAAAGAGA